AACGAUGAGGACAAGUGUGGAUGAUUUGAUGGCAUGGUGGGUGUGAGAUGGAUUGCCAGAGUUGGACCUGGAGGUAUAGGUCAUUGGAGAGGAGUCCUGGGGAGACUGAGAUCUCCAAUUUGGUGUUGUCUUGCUUGAAAUAAGAAUAUAUGGAGUUUUAAUUUCUAAGAAUCAGUACGACAACCAGAUUUUGGAAAGCAACCUUCAAGCUUCUAAACCAAUGAUCGAUUUCGCAAUAUUUAGAUUGCUGCUUCCUGGAAUACCAUGUGCUACAUGAAGGCAAGAAGAGCUCAUCUCGGAUCAUCGCGGCUCGGAGAUUGCAGACCAUGAUAGGGGUGGCGUACUUCAGCUAGUGUGGCAGCAGCAAGAUCUUGCUAACGAGGAGGGGAACAAACUUCUCACCCAAUUUGGCAAUUUGAGUAACUGGAUUGUUGUAUGGAACCUGAUAUAUAUGACUUGUGCUUAAAGAAAAAAGCUCCAAGCUAGUCGA